UACGUAGGGUGCAAGCGUUGUCCGGAAUUAUUGGGCGUAAAGAGCUCGUAGGCGGUCUGUCGCGUCGGCUGUGAAAACCCGAGGCUCAACCUCGGGCCUGCAGUCGAUACGGGCAAACUAGAGUACUGCAGGGGAGACUGGAAUUCCUGGUGUAGCGGUGAAAUGCGCAGAUAUCAGGAGGAACACCGGUGGCGAAGGCGGGUCUCUGGGCAGUAACUGACGCUGAGGAGCGAAAGCUAGGGGAGCGAACAGG
rnacentral:rRNA from 1 species